rnacentral:lncRNA from 1 species
CCUGCCCCAUGCAAAGGGAACCAACCGCUCCUGGCUCACCCCUCUCUCUCCGAGGGGGCAGCCGAGGGACCUGGGCGCACCGGUCCUUCGUCCAGUCCCGCCCACCUAGCCGCGACUCCGAGCUGCCGCCUGCUGCCCCCUGCUGUCCCCUGGCUGAUGAGCCUGAGAGCAGCGCGAGCCGACCCGCGGAAAGCCAAGCCCGCCGUUGUGGGACCUGCGGGGACAGAUCCGGCGGGCGGGGCGUCCGCGGGCUGGGCUGGUCCACCUGCGUGCUCUGCGCAUCCUUCUGCAGCUCCUGCGGUUGGUGCGCCGUUUGUUCCCAGAGAUUCAGGUUUGGAAGACGCACCAGUUACAACCGCACAUGCGCGCUGCCUGGCGAGGAAAAGACAGCGGGACUUUGCAUGUCGAUCACAGUGGGGAGGAAGUCAUAGUUCCUGUUUCUGUUUUUCUACCACGUCGACAACUGUGUUUCAGCGGCAUGGUGGACGAGCAGCGCUCAGGCAGGAAGCCUUCCUCUCCCAGCAGCCGAGAGCCGGCCGCUGAACUCCUCGUCUUGCUGGACACAGCCCAGCCUGCUUCCUUCCUGCAGCCUCAGGGUUCUGAUCCGAACUUCCUGCAUGCAAAUCUCCAGCCUGGCCUGAAAAGAUCAGCCUUCAUGUGGAAACCAUUGCUGCCAGAUGCCAUUCUCAGUGUGUCCCACUAAUUGAGUCUUCACACACCCUAGCAGGUAUUUCAAAGUUCAAAGGGAACAGAGGGCUUUGAGUGAAAAUUUGUCUCCCUUAUACCCAACCUGCAACAAGGCAACUGUUGGCUCCCAUCCGAGCCGCCCCAGGCACACACAGGCACGUCUGCGAACGGGCGAGAAGCCCUUCUUCGGCCAGACCUGUCUCUUCUCCUGCACUCUGCAAUGCCCUCUUUCUGAAGCGGAAGCUAAUCGCCAAAAUGUUAACCAAGAUGGGAGAAAAAAGCUUCAGUGUAACCACUGGUGCCCGGGGCGCCCUUUGUUUUUAAACAGUCUCCUCAGGCUUAGCCAUACAGCGUCGUCACCCAGCUUAUUUUUCAGUAAAAGGGAUUUUGUAAAGUCGUUUUCUCCCAGUGUCACCUGUGCUGCUGCCUGUUGCUCUGGUCCUGUUUUCAGGGCCAGAGGCUGCCUUCCGAUGUCGCGCAAUCCUCGGUGGUCGGCUCCUGAUGAAGCG